GCAAGAUUGGUGUAGUGGUUAACACAGCUGAUGAAGUUCAUUCUGACUUAGCAGCCCUUGGUUCGAUCCCAAGCUCUUGCG